GAUGAAGAACGUAGCGAAAUGCGAUAAGUAAUGUGAAUUGCAGAAUUCAGUGAAUCAUCGAAUCUUUGAACGCACCUUGCGCCCUUUGGCCAUUCCGAAGGGCAUGCCUGUUUGAGUAUCAUGAACACCUCAACUCUUCAUGGUUUUCCGUGAUGAGCUUGGACUUUGGGGGUCUUGCUGGCCUAUGGUCAGCUCCUCUAAAAUAAAUCGGCUUGCCAGUGUUUGGUGGGUAUCACAGGUGUGAUAACUAUCUACGCUUGUGGUUUUCCACCAGGUAACCUUCAGCAGUGGAGGUUCGCUGGAGCUCACAGAUGUGUCUCUCCUCAGUGAGGACAGCUCUUUGAAUGUUUGAUCUCAAAUCAGGUAGGACUACCCGCUGAACUUAAGCAUAUCAAUAAGCGGAGGA
rnacentral:misc_RNA from 1 species